CCUACGGGUGGCAGCAGUGGGGAAUAUUGGGCAAUGGGCGCGAGCCUGACCCAGCAACGCCGCGUGAAGGAGGAAGGCUUUCGGGUUGUAAACUUCUUUUCUCAGGGACGAAGCAAGUGACAGUACCUGCGGAAUAAGCCACGGCGAACUACGUGCCAGCAGCCGCGGUAAUACGUAGGUGGCAAGCGUUAUCCGGAUUUACUGGGUGUAAAGGGCGUGUAGGCGGGACUGCAAGUCAGAUGUGAAAACCACGGGCUCAACCUGUGGCCUGCAUUUGAAACUGUAGUUCUUGAGUACUGGAGAGGCAGACGGAAUGCCUGGUGUAGCGGUGAAAUGCGUAGAUAUUAGGAGGAACACCAGUGGCGAAGGCGGUCUGCUGGACAGCAACUGACGCUGAGGCGCGAAAGCGUGGGGAGCAAACAGGAUUAGAUACCCUAGUAGUC
rnacentral:rRNA from 1 species